UAAGCCUAGAGUCCAACACUUCAAAAACUACCUAUGAACCCAACAAUGAAUCCCUUUUAAGUCCCAUCCCAUAUCCACAAUCCCCCUUUAGGGCCAAACAACUUCGUUUUACUAAACUAACUAAAACAAUAGUAUUUCACGCAAUAUAACAUUAGUGAUGUUUUAGCAAAUAAUUUCUCAUAAAUUAUGGAAAAUAAAAAAAUUCCCAUGGAGAAAUUGCAACAAAAACCUUU
rnacentral:lncRNA from 1 species